AGCCACACACCUGCAGCUGAGCUGAUGAGGCACACAGGUGUUCACAGAGUCCAUUUGCUCUCCCAGCAAGCCGACUGCCAGACCCGAGGUGGGAUGACAUGGCCAGAGAUACUUCCCAGAGGAAAAAAAAGUUCAAACUCACCUCCCUGAGAGACCACUGUGCUUCUCCAGGCCAGCUACUUUAUGUCUUCCCCAAUGGGGGCAUUGUCAGGGAGAAGACAGUCUUUCUAGCAAGAGUUGGUGCUCUUCCAUCUCCCUCUCCCAGAACGCCUGUCAAAGAGGUCAAUCUCUCAGUCGGACUUAACAUCAAAUUCUCCUGCAGCAACUUUGCCCACGAUCAUCUGCCAACCCUGAGAGCGCUUUGCUAUGGGGAGAAACGAGCCCAGCAAGGCUGAGGAAAAGAUUGGAUAUCCAUAUCCGUUGGAGGCUCCAAGCAAACACACUCAGAGGGUGACGAGAGCUCAGCAGACCCCAGGAUUGGCAAGUCCUCAAGCCCUCUGCUCUCCUUUACGGAGAAAGAACAUCUGCGGAGAAUUGUGGGGAGUCAGAGAGAUGAGGGGCAGGGAAUGUAUCCACCAACUCUGUUUUCUCUA